UACGUAGGGGGCGAGCGUUGUCCGGAAUUAUUGGGCGUAAAGAGCGUGUAGGCGGUUCGGUAAGUCUGCCGUGAAAACCCAGGGCUCAACCCUGGGCGUGCGGUGGAUACGGGCAGGCUAGAGUCCGGUUGGGGAGACUGGAAUUCCUGGUGUAGCGGUGGAAUGCGCAGAUAUCAGGAGGAACACCGGUGGCGGAGGCGGGUCUCUGGGCCGGUACUGACGCUGAGGAGCGAAAGCGUGGGGAGCGAACAGG
rnacentral:rRNA from 1 species